CUUCUAACUUACUAACCUCAAAUUUUUCAAGCUAUUUGAUAUAGCAUCAGAGAUAACUACUAUACUCGUUCUUUUUACCAUUGUCUUGGUGAAGAUGGUUCAGCACGAUUUAACGACGAAGUCCACUUUGUCGUAUGUCUUCUUCAGAGAGUGUAGGAAGUUUGAAUUUAAAGUUAUUUAUUCACUGAGACAAUGUAUAUAAUUAAAAGCUAGCCCAACGUGUUGUUAAGUAUAGAACAACGCCAUCGGUCUAUGCGUGAGUGAGGCUUAACUAUGUCUAAUUCUUAAUACUACCACAACCCUUUUUAUAUUAAACUAUUUGGGCGUAGUCCCAAAAAAAUACGUACGUGUCAUGGAAAACAGGAAAUUCGACUAUAAGUUUCUAUUUCAUGUUUACUAUGACCAAUUAUUUAAAUACAUAAUUUUAAUCUUAAAAAUCUAUAUAAACGAUUAUUAAAACCAUGUUCGUAAUCCAAUUAUCUCGUAACUAUGUUUUACACACAAAUAUUCUCUUUAUCUCUUUAACUGCUACUUGCAACUAUUUUCAAUCACGGGUCUAGCUUUUUCGUCAAUUGGUAGCAAUAAAGGUCUACCUUCUAACUUACUAACCUCAAAUUUUUCCAAGCUAUUUGAUAUAGCAUCAGAGAUAACUACUAUACUCGUUCUUUUUACCAUUGUCUUGGUGAAGAUGGUUCAGCACGAUUUAACGACGAAGUCCACUUUGUCGUAUGUCUUCUUCAGAGAGUGUAGGAAGUUUGAAUUUAAAGUUAUUUAUUCACUGAGACAAUGUAUAUAAUUAAAAGCUAGCCCAACGUGUUGUUAAGUAUAGAACAACGCCAUCGGUCUAUGCGUGAGUGAGGCUUAACUAUGUCUAAUUCUUAAUACUACCACAACCCUCUUUAUAUUAAACUAUUUGGGCGUAGUCCCAAAAAUAUACGUACGUGUCAUGGAAAACAGGAAAUUCGUAGAAUUGUAAACUGGUUCACUUAUCCCAUAUUUCUACAUGCUUAAACAAAAAGCCAAUAAAUUAUUGUACUAUGUGUUUAACUAUCAUAAAUAGUAAAACGAUUAUGUGCUAGUAAAGUGACUAUGUCGGUUUACUACACGAUGUUGUUGCAACAUUAUCCUAUAAUUAAAAUAGACGAUAAGGUGAUGUUGGUUUACAAAAUUAAUUUUUCAUAAAAUAUUUAAUGAUUGUUUUUAAAAAAUGUCUUUUGAUUAAAUUAAUUAUAUCUAUUAUUGUAAUAAAAAAAAAUGUGUUUUUGCUUACUUCGGAUACUACAACCGACUCCUCGUUAUCGCUUCUAAAAGAGUAGCAGGACAUUUUUUUUUUUAUUUAAAAAAAAUUAAUUAAUUGUAUAACAUUUAUUAUGUGCUAUAGUCCAAUAAUCUAAGGCCGUAUUCUCUACAGGCGUCUUGACCGUUAAUGAGUCUUCAUGCUUUUUUAUAUUUAAGGUGUUCUCUGCAUCGGUUGGUAUAGUUGGAUCUGUUAUUAAAUCUAAUAUUUUAUCUGUAUAACAGAUAGAGGUGCUCUAUAAAAUAAUAAAUAAAUUAUAUUUAUAUUUUUUGGUAUAACUCACCUUUUUCGUCUUUUUUGAUACCGGUUUCUUCUCCGGUUUCACACCUAACCUUUUCGCUGAACUUUUUUUUUGUGAUGAUGUUGUUGCAAUAUUAUCCUAUAAUUAAAAUAGACGAUAAGCUGAUGUCGGUUUACAAAAUUAAUUUUUCAUAAAAUAUUUAAUGAUUGUUUUUAAAAAAUGUCUUUUGAUUAAAUUAAUUAUAUCUAUUAUUGUAAUAAAAAAAAAUGUUUUUUUGCUUACUUCGGAUACUACAACCGACUCCUCGUUAUCGCUUCUAAAAGAGUAGCAGGACAUUUUUUAUUUAAAAAAAUUUAAUUAAUUUUAUAACAUUUAUAAUGUGCUAUAGUCCAGUAAUCUAAGGCCGUAUUCUCUACAGGCGUCUUGACCGUUAAUGAGUCUUCAUCCUUUUUUAUAUUUAAGGUGUUCUCUGCAUCGGUUGGUAUAGUUGGAUCUGUUAUUAAAUCUAAUAUUUUAUCUGUAUAACAAAUAGAGGUGCUCUAUAAAAUAAUAAUUAAAUUUUAUUUUUAUUUAUUUUUAUCUAUUUUUUAUACUUAAUAUAUUCAGUGACUUAAAUGAUACUUACGUUUCUGCAUCUCCCUCGACACGAGCCAUGGUCAUACUAAUUUAGCUUUGAUAUCUCGUAGAUAUUACUAACAUAUUACUAAAUAAUAUGAUGAUUGUCCAAAACUACAAUAAAAGAAUAUAAUAGAAACAUGUCCAAUCAGCUCAAGGUUGUAUAGUUGUUAAUUUGGUUGCCUACACUAAACUCCGUUAUUUGGUUAAUUAUUUUUAAAUAAUAUGUUAGUGCACUAGCCUCAGUGCAACAAUUAUUUGGAAUUUGAAAUAAAAUGAUUAAUUAAUCAUCGAAUAUAUGUCUAAUAAAUUUAUUUUUACCUUUGAAAAUUUUGCUUGGAAUAUUUUAUACAUGAAAAUGUCUCCAAUAGCUCUAUGUCUUACGACACCAUUACUAUAGGUAUAGAUAAAAUUAGGUUGCGCGUCGACCUCUGAAAAGUUUGAAUUGAUAAUUGCAUGCUUUUCCGGUAAUUCAAAAUCCACGAAACUAAUUUCUAAAAUAGGAGCUCCAUGCUGACAAACGCGUAUGAGUGGCUUAGACUUUCAGAUUUGACAGUGUAUUUUUCAGAUAAUAUAAUUGUAUUUAUAAUUACCUUAUCUUUAGUAUAUAAAAAUGAAUAAACAUUGUAUCAUUUAAUUCCAAAACCAGUAUGUAUACUAACAAAUUAUGUUUAUAUAAAAGCUAGUUAUAACUUUUUAGCAAUAAUCAAGACAAAAGAAUUGUAUUCGACAUAAUAUUAUCAGUUUCAGUAUUCAGCAUGUAAAACAGCUCAUGAUAUCCUUUUAUGUCCCGAAAUUAAUCAAUUACAUCCUAUAAAUACAAGACCAAUAUGUGAAGUACAACUACUGCAAGAUCCACUCAACGCACCACAAAGUAGCGAAGUAAGAGAAAUACAAAUGAACAUAUUCGUUACAUGUAAUUUGGGCAAGGAAUCAAGUACUAUAGAAGGGGUAGGAAUAAUAUACCUUAAUGAAACUUGUAAAGAUUACGCUACACAAGAUAUGUUUAUACCAGGAAAAAACCAGUCAAGAAGCGUAUCCAGAUUUUAUAUUUAAUUCAAUAUGUCAAACUAAUACAAAUAUGACCAGUUUAGCAACAAUGGAAACCAAAAACAUUUUGAAUAACAAAAUGGACGACUUAAAUUAAGUCUCAAACAUACAUAUGGUUAUUUACAAUUUCUUAAUAAUAAUAUACGUACUUUUGAGGAUAUUGAGGAUAAAAUAAUUAAUAUAUGAAUGUAUAUUAAUAUUAAUAACAUCAACCAGAGAUUGUGGGUUUUUAAUUUUAUGAUAAAAUCUGUAAUAAAAAUAGUGCAACUUGACCAUAGGUCAAGGAGAAGCAUGGAAAUCAUUUUCCGAAACGAACACGCUACAAUAACAUCAAUUUCAUCAUCAUAGUCAAUACUGGAACCAUAUAUGGAAGAACCAUAAGAACAAGCAGUAUCACUGUGUCCAAAAAUGAAGACUUCAUAUUAAACUGCAAAAAUUGGAGAAUUUUUCUUAGAGGGGAGAAAUGUAGAGUAAUCCAAUGUUUUCCUAUUAUUUUAUCUUGAGCUGUUGAGAAACUGUAUUACUAGUUGUAUAAGUUAUUUUAUUAUGUCAUCGUUUUAGUCAAUUUACACAUUUUAGAUAUUUUAGCAAUUUUUUUUAUUUAUGUUUCUUUUUGCGAAGCUGUUACAUGAUAAAAAAACAAAUAGUUGUCUUUUCUUGUUUACCAUCGCACACACAUCCGGGAACUACGACAUAUUUUUCUGUAUAAGAAGGGUCGUAGUUGCUAUUUAGAAAUUAGAUAUAAUUUAACAACAAUUAUACAUAGACCGGUGCAGUUGUUCUAUAUUAACGACUUAUCGGGAUAUUUUUAACUUGUCUCAGUAAAUAAACUUUAUUAUAUAACUUUA